AAAAGGAAGAUAUUUAUUAUAGAUCUUUAGAUAUGCUAGGCAUGCUAGCAUAUACCUUUAAUCCUAGCAUUUGGGAGGCAGAAGCAGGCAGAUCUCUGAGUUUGAUGCUAGCUUGGUCUAUAAGAAGGCCAACCAGAGCUGCAUAUUGAGACCUUGUUUCAGUAUAGAACCAAACAGUCUUUAGGCAAUAUGAAAAUACUAAGAAAAAAGUAAAAAUUUCUUUUCAAAUAUAUUAUGUGUGUGUGUGUGUGUGUGUGUGUAUUACAUAAAUAGGACUCUUGAUUUAUUUUUGAGACAGGAUCUUGUAUUGUCCUUGCUGGGUUGUAUUCACUGUGUAGACCAGGUUGAACUUGAACUUGUGGUGACCCUCCUGCCUCUGCCUCCCAAGUACUGGGAUAGUGGCUGAGCUCUGCUAUAUCUAUUUAUUUUAUAUUUGAUUACAUGUGAGAAGUGGAGGUACAUGAAUGUGUGUACAGGUGUCACUGGGGGCCAGAAGGGGAAAUCAGAUCCCCUAAGGUUGUAGUUAACAUGGUUAUGAGAUGCCCAGCCUGGGUAUUGGGAAAUGAAGUUGGUUCUCUGAUAGAGCUGUACAUAGUUCAAGUACUUUUAACCUGCGAGUCAUCUUUUCAGCCCUAGAUUUUUUUUUUGGAAUAAUUUUACACUGUUUAUAGCCUGCUUUACUUAAUAGUUUGUUACAGAGUGGACAUUUGAUGUGGUCCAAAUCUGUGUUUUUAAUGACUAAUCUAUCAUGAUAUGAUUUGAGUCAUUAUUUAUCACUCUUGCAUUGAUGACAUUUACAUUUAGGGUGUUUCCAGUUCUCUUUUCAUAAACAGUACUGUAGAGAACAAUUUUACACAUGUAUUUAACUGUAUUUAUAAAUGGCUAGAACUGAUCAUAUAGGUUUGAAAUACAGCUGCUCAGAAGACUGAAGCAGUAGAAUUUAAAGUUUAAGGCUAGCUGGGCAAACAUUGAGUUCCCUGACAGCCUCAGCUGUUGAGUGAAACCAUUGAACAAAAC
rnacentral:lncRNA from 1 species